rnacentral:lncRNA from 1 species
UGGAAUAGUCAAAACUCAAAAGUAUGGAGUGACAAGCUAGCACAUUGGAUUAGCUUUCAACCACUUCAAACCAUCUUCCCUUUUAAGAUUCUCCAUCUGUCUUCUCCAUGAAUGUUAAGGGUCUGAUGAAGAACCUGUAUGGAAUUAUUUCGUGAUCUGGGCAAAAUCAUUGGUAAGAGGUUAUUCUUAAUGUCAGCUGAACUGAGUGACAGCUAGCCGUUUUUUUUCUGUACACAGAUAAUUUCAUUUGGAGUGAUUAAACAGCAUGAUUUUGUAACUUUUUAAAAAAGACUUUACACUUGACAUGAUGGCAUACACCUUCAAUCCCAGGAUUCAUGAGGCAGAGAGAGGCAGGAGGAUCUCUGAGUUCAAGGCAUCCUUAUCUACAAAGUGAUUUGCUGGCCAGCCGGGGCUAUGCAGUGAGACUCCAUCUUUAAAGAGGAGGAACAUUCUUAUUGCAUUUAUUUGUGUAUGUGUGUGGAGGGUAUAUGUAUACAUAUAUGGAGGUCAGAAGACAACAUGGAAGGAUCGGUUGUCUCCUUCCACCAUGUGAGUAGUGGAACUGGAACUCAGGUCCAGGCCUUUUUGUUUGGUUUUGAGCUAGGAUCUCACUGUGGAUUCUAGACUGGCCUCAAAGCUUGCAGUGAUAUGCUUGCUCAUCUCUGCCUCCAUGAGCACUGGGGUUACAGGGAUACCUUACAUGCUUGGCGAGGUCUUGUAAACUGCAGGCUAAAAUCCAAGGUGAAUGUAUGGUAACCUAAACUAUAAUGUGGAGCCUCCAGGCAGCACUGGAAACCAAUUUUAUAUUCAAUUACUCUUGAGAAGAAGGGUAAGCUAUAGGCUAUCAUCAGUCCCAGUACUCUUCCUGCUGUAAUCAUCACAAUACCAAACGACUAAAAAGACUUAACAAUUUAUAAGUCUAUAGACUCAAAGUUGGAAAGUCUCAUUAUGCAGGUUUCAAGGGGAACACUAAGGUAAGAGAUUAGGGGAGUUGUAAAUGUCAGGGAAAUACAGCACGGUGAGGACUCUGAGGAGAGAUGAUGCCCACAUAGGGGUCCCCCUUCCAUGGACCAUGGAAGUCCUAAGACAUGUAGUUGGUGAUGAGUAGCCCAUAAUAUGUGUGUGUAGUCAGUUUGCCUCUGAUUUCUGAGUGCACAGAGAAAGGAAAAGCGUUGGUCUUUUGGUUGGGCCCAUCAUCCAGUAUGUGCCACUUGCAGCACCUAAUGGCUAAGUGUACUUGGUAAACUUCUUUUGAUGAAGUGAAGAAUUCAGACUCACAGUCACAGUAUGGGUAUCUUGUCAUUCCAUUACAGAAGCUGAGAGAGCGUAAAGCGAAAGAGGCUGCUGCAGGAAAAGAAUGAGAUACAAAAUAUUAAUCUGGUUGCUAUUACUUUUAAUGUCUCUGUGUGCCCUGUAUAGAGAAUACCAUUUCAGGUAACUGUGAAACUUAAUGUUGUAUUCUUAUAUGUGGUAAGAAUCUGGUGAGUCAGAAAAUUAACAGUAUUGCCCCUUAAGUAAAUCAGCAUCCAGAUGCAUCAAUCUGAACAUAAAAGAAUUAUACCCAAG